rnacentral:rRNA from 1 species
CCUACGGGAGGCAGCAGUGGGGAAUAUUGGACAAUGGGGGGAACCCUGAUCCAGCGACGCCGCGUGAGUGAAGAAGUUGUCCGGCAUGUAAAGCUCUUUUAGUCGGGAAGAAAGAACUGACGGUACCUGAUUAAGAAGCCCCGGCUAACUACGUGCCAGCAGCCGCGGUACUCCGUAGGGGGCAAGCGUUAUCCGGAUUUACUGGGUGUAAAGGGAGCGUAGGUGGCGAUGCAAGUCUGAAGUGAAAGGCGGGGGCCCAACCCCCGGACUGCUUUGGAAACUGGAUGGCUUGAGUGCAGGAGAGGUAAGUGGAAUUCCUAGUGUAGCGGUGAAAUGCGUAGAUAUUAGGAAGAACACCAGUGGCGAAGGCGGCUUACUGGACUGUAACUGACGUUGAGGCUCGAAAGCGUGGGGAGCAAACAGGAUUAGAUACCCUAGUAGUC